AGUGAACGCUGGCGGUAGGCCUAACACAUGCAAGUCGAACGGCAGCACAGUAAGAGCUUGCUCUUACGGGUGGCGAGUGGCGGACGGGUGAGGAAUACAUCGGAAUCUACUUUUUCGUGGGGGAUAACGUAGGGAAACUUACGCUAAUACCACAUACGACCUACGGGUGAAAGCAGGGGAUCUUCGGACCUUGCGCGAUUGAAUGAGCCGAUGUCGGAUUAGCUAGUUGGCGGGGUAAAGGCCCACCAAGGCGACGAUCCGUAGCUGGUCUGAGAGGAUGAUCAUCCACACUGGAACGGGGACACGGGCCCAACUCCGGCGGGAGGCAGCGGUUGGGAAUUUUGGACAAGGGGCGGAAGGCUGAUCCAGCCAAACCGCGGGGGUGAAAAAGGGCCUCAGGUUUUGAAGGCCUUUUGUUGGGAAAGAAAAACAGCAGGUUUAUACCCCGCUGUUCUGACGGUACCCAAAGGAUUAGCACCGGCUAACUUCGUG
rnacentral:rRNA from 1 species